UUUGCCUGAGUUCCUGAGAAAAUGUAAAAAGACUAAGAACAGAUCUAGGAAUCACGAAAAGGUAAAAGGAAAAGGGGAGGAUCAGAAGAUUUACCUCUAGGACGAAGGCCAUGGUGGUUGUAGGGACUGCCAUUGGGAUUUGGAAGACUGGCGUGAUUGUUGAAGAAUGAGAGAAAGCCACCGAAAUGCACUGGAAUGCACUUGGGGAUGGAACAAGCAGGGGCGCCGGAGUGUGUCGGGAGAUGAUUCGCUGGAAGCGAAACUUUUUUGCCCGGGGAAGAAGAAGCGGCGGAAGAGAUGAGUAUCUAGAGGAUGGUUCGAGAGAGGGGUAAAUACGAAAUUUUUACCAUGCCGUCCGCGAAAAUUUGAAAAGAGUGAUUGCCCGCGGGCAUUCUGUUCAAAAAAAUGCAAUCACCAAGGAGAAGAUUUCAGGAGUGGAAAGGUUUUGCCGCACUUUUUGUUGUGUCUCUUCUAGAGAAAAGAGUUGGAGUUAAAAAAAAUUCGGAGGAAAAG
rnacentral:lncRNA from 1 species